rnacentral:rRNA from 1 species
CGCUUCCUACGGGGGGCAGCAGUGAGGAAUAUUGGUCAAUGGGCGAGAGCCUGAACCAGCCAAGUCGCGUGAGGGAGUACUGCCCUAUGGGUUGUAAACCUCUUUUGUCGGGGAGCAAAAGCCGGACGUGUCCGUCUGUGAGAGUACCCGACGAAAAAGCAUCGGCUAACUCCGUGCCAGCAGCCGCGGUAAUACGGAGGAUGCGAGCGUUAUCCGGCUUUAUUGGGUUUACAGGGUGCGCAGGCGGAUUUUUAAGUCAGCGGUCACAUCUUGGGGCUCAACCUCAUCCAGCCGUUGAACCUGGG